rnacentral:rRNA from 1 species
UACGUAGGUGGCGAACGUUGUCCGGAUUCACUGGGCGUAAAGCGCGCGCAGGCGGGUUAGUAAGUCUGAGGUGAAAGCUCCCGGCUCAACUGGGAGAAGCCCUUGGAUACUGCUAGCCUUGAGACACUUAGAGGAGAGUGGAAUUCCCGGUGUAGUGGUGGAAUGCGUAGAUAUCGGGAGGAACACCAGUGGCGAAAGCGGCUCUCUGGGAGUGUUCUGACGCUGAGGCGCGAAAGCGUGGGGAGCAAAC